rfam:Ipomoea nil DNA, scaffold: scaffold2165, cultivar: Tokyo-kokei standard.
UCUCUGUGUUGAAGAAAUACAGAUGAGGAGUCUGAUCGAAAUCCAUUCUAAAACCUGUGAGGACAAUUUGAGGCAUUUGUCUGAGGA